CAGUUUGGUUGGGCUGAUCCGGGUGGAUAGUUCCUCUAAUCCACUCGGAUCUCAGCUUUGGUUGAGCCCAACUGGGUUCUGGAUUGCACUUGGGCCCGGGUCCAGAUCAAGGAUUUGCUGGAUCUCCCAUCAGGCCAAAUGAGGUGAGAUUGGGUAAUCUCAUCCAACUCUCAGCCCAAUCAAGUACAGUAUUACCUUUAUGCCCUGAAUAUUUAUUUCUAAUUACAAGACUACCCCAUAUAUAUAAGAAUUACCCCAAAAAUUAUUGUGUUAGCCCUAGAAUUUUACCGACAUAGCAAUAUACGCCGUUCUUCGUUCUACUUUUCUCCACUGUGGUCGGUAGUUUUUCACCGAGGUGAUUUUUUAUUUUGGUUUCGUAGUAGUUCGUAGUUUGGCCGGGCUGAGUCUGGUCUGGCCGAACGAUUCCGGUGUUGCAGCUGGUUGACGGUUGGCUGUCGAUUAUCCUGGUUCUGCUACACGACGAUUUAAGGGAAAUAAUAUAUGAUGUUCCCGAAACGAUGACCUCGAUGGUCGUAUCGUGGAUAUGAUGGUGGAUAUGACUAGGACUUUUGCGGAGACUAAAACAUGCCUAGGCGAGUUGGCCCACCGUAUCGGUUUUGAGCACGAUGCGUCAACUACACGUAAGAAGGUGUUGGAUGCCCUAUCGCCGUUAUGUUUAGGUGUCGAGGAUAAGAUUACCGUCGCUAAAGCCGUUUGCAAUAGCCCAACCGAUCUCGACAUCUUUUUCGGAUUAAAUGAAACCGAAAAGGGGGUUAUGGUUCGAAUGAUCCUCGAAGGGCGCUACUUCGGUUAGCUAGAAUAUCAUCCACUCACAAGGUGAAGAAACUUUUUCCCGUAUUCGGACCCUAUCUUACGGCAUUAUUUGCAUUGAAGACAAUUCUGUUAGUUUUUCCGUAUCGGCUUUAUAAAUUUUGUGUAUUAUGGCCGAUUAUAUGUCUGUAAAUAUUCUGUUAGUUUGGAGCUACUAUGCCUAAAUGGUAAGCUGAAAAAAUAUUUUAUUAUUUAGGAGCUAAUGGUCAAUUUUAAACAGGUUCACGGGUUGUGUAAUAUUCCAAGAUUUUUGUCAAUAUGCAUGUGUUAUAUUCACACUGCAACAGGUUAUAGUUGCAGGCCUUCGUGCAAA